CAGAAGAUAGUUUAAAUUAAAAUAUUAGUUUUGGGUACUAAAGAAAAAUUUUAUUAUUUUCUUCUGA
rnacentral:tRNA from 1 species